UACGGAGGAUGCAAGCGUUAUCCGGAUUUAUUGGGUUUAAAGGGUGCGCAGGUUGUUUGAUAAGUCAGUGGUGAAGGUCUGUCGCUUAACGGUAGGAUUGCCAUUGAUACUGUUAGACUUGAAUAUGGAUGAGGUAGGCGGAAUGUGUAGUGUAGCGGUGAAAUGCAUAGAUAUUACGCAGAACACCGAUUGCGAAGGCAGCUUACUAAUCCAUCAUUGACGCUGAGGCACGAAAGCGUGGGGAUCAAACA
rnacentral:rRNA from 1 species